GGGAGGGGGGGUGCUAUAAUGCAGUCGACGCACAGCGAAAGGUGCUUGCACCUUUCAAGUGAGUGGCGAACGGGUGAGUAACACGUGGACAACCUGCCUCAAGGCUGGGGAUAACAUUUGGAAACAGAUGCUAAUACCGAAUAAAACUUAGUGUCGCAUGACAAAAAGUUAAAAGGCGCUUCGGCGUCACCUAGAGAUGGAUCCGCGGUGCAUUAGUUAGUUGGUGGGGUAAAGGCCUACCAAGACAAUGAUGCAUAGCCGAGUUGAGAGACUGAUCGGCCACAUUGGGACUGAGACACGGCCCAAACUCCUACGGGAGGCUGCAGUAGGGAAUCUUCCACAAUGGGCGAAAGCCUGAUGGAGCAACGCCGCGUGUGUGAUGAAGGCUUUCGGGUCGUAAAGCACUGUUGUAUGGGAAGAACAGCUAGAAUAGGAAAUGAUUUUAGUUUGACGGUACCAUACCAGAAAGGGACGGCUAAAUACGUGCCAGCAGCCGCGGUAAUACGUAUGUCCCGAGCGUUAUCCGGAUUUAUUGGGCGUAAAGCGAGCGCAGACGGUUUAUUAAGUCUGAUGUGAAAGCCCGGAGCUCAACUCCGGAAUGGCAUUGGAAACUGGUUAACUUGAGUGCAGUAGAGGUAAGUGGAACUCCAUGUGUAGCGGUGGAAUGCGUAGAUAUAUGGAAGAACACCAGUGGCGAAGGCGGCUUACUGGACUGCAACUGACGUUGAGGCUCGAAAGUGUGGGUAGCAAACAGGAUUAGAUACCCUGGUAGUCCACACCGUAAACGAUGAACACUAGGUGUUAGGAGGUUUCCGCCUCUUAGUGCCGAAGCUAACGCAUUAAGUGUUCCGCCUGGGGAGUACGACCGCAAGGUUGAAACUCAAAGGAAUUGACGGGGACCCGCACAAGCGGUGGAGCAUGUGGUUUAAUUCGAAGCAACGCGAAGAACCUUACCAGGUCUUGACAUCCUUUGAAGCUUUUAGAGAUAGAAGUGUUCUCUUCGGAGACAAAGUGACAGGUGGUGCAUGGUCGUCGUCAGCUCGUGUCGUGAGAUGUUGGGUUAAGUCCCGCAACGAGCGCAACCCUUUAUUGUUAGUUGCCAGCAUUCAGGAUGGGCACUCUAG
rnacentral:rRNA from 1 species